AAUAAACCCUAGGUUUCCGUGUCCAACGUUUGACCGACCAUCUUAUUUGAAAAAAUUAUGAUAAAAAUUAAAAAGACAAGUCACACAUAAAGUAUUAAUCAUAUUUUAUAACAAUGAAAAUACUAAUUAUAAAAAAUUUCAUAUAAGACAGACAGUCAAACGUUAGACACGGAAACCUAGAGUUUGUCUUUUU
rnacentral:pre_miRNA from 1 species